UAGUCUUUGCAGGCCUCCUUGG
rnacentral:misc_RNA from 1 species